rnacentral:tRNA from 1 species
CGCGAAGUAGAGCAGCGGUAGCUCGUCGGGCUCAUAACCCGAAGGUCGCAGGUUCGAUCCCUGCCUUCGCAACAA